CAGUAGCCGCGGGAAUACGAAGGGUGCAAGCGUUAAUCGGAAUUACUGGGCGUAAAGCGCGCGUAGGUGGUUUGGUAAGAUGGAUGUGAAAUCCCCGGGCUCAACCUGGGAACUGCAUCCAAAACUGGCAAGCUAGAGUAUGGUAGAGGGUGGUGGAAUUUCCUGUGUAGCGGUGAAAUGCGUAGAUAUAGGAAGGAACACCAGUGGCGAAGGCGACCACCUGGACUGAUACUGACACUGAGGUGCGAAAGCGUGGGGAGCAAACAGGAUUAGAUACCCCGGUAGUCCCUGUCUCUUAUAC
rnacentral:rRNA from 1 species